rnacentral:lncRNA from 1 species
AACAUCUUCCAAAGCCCAGCACGGGUGCCUGCAGCACUCAGAUGAGUGAGGCUGUUGGUAGGCUUUAAUCACUGCAGCAGAUUCAGCUACUUGCUGAUGUGGCCAUUCCUGGCUCCCUGUCAUCCAUCAGCCUACAGUUACAGAGAUUCCGGACGCUGGGCAUGAUGGGAGCUAACUGUGAGAGUCUGUGAAUCCUAGGCAGCUGCGUUAACUGUUGCAGCGGCAACGUCUUUCUAGUCUGUCUGUCUGUCAGUAACUAUGUGCUGGGUUCUGCUGCAUGUCUGCGGUUGACCACUGGAAGGAGGUGCAGAAGCUGCAGUAACAGCCGUGAUUCCAGCAAGCUCUUGUCUUCAGGCGACUGUCUUGACUUCCUGUCUUGGCCUUCAUGAUGAACUCAACCCAUUCCUCCCCAAGUAGUUUCUGGUUGCUGUUUGAAGACAGCAACAAAGAGGCAAAGAAGGAUACCAGAUGAGAGCUACUACCUCAGGCCCAAGACCACUGUCCUUUUCAAGGCCUUCGCAGUUAAAGGAGAGUUCCCCCCAUCCGCAAGCCCUUCUUGAGCAGCUCUUACAAACUAUAUGCUUAUGCUGAGCACCUGCUUUCCUUAGUGGAGUCUGACAUUGCCAGGCAGAAGCUAGCUAGGCAACCAGCUCCCUAUAAAUCCCUCGGGCACCGAGUCUCUAGGGCACCUCCAUGAUAAACAACUUUGCACAAGUGUCAAAACUCAUUUCUGUAAGAAUUAAGCCUGUUUUGUGUGACUCUGCUGGGUGAGGCCUCUUGGAAGUGUCUGCCCGGCUCUCCAUACUCCUUUAUGUUUUAAAAACCAACAUAACAUUUGUAUUGAUUAUUUGGGAAGCUUAUACAAUGCGUGCUGAUCACACUCAUUUCCCAUUCCUUCCAGGUUUACCCUCUCACCCUUGGGCCCUCCCCCGAAUCAAACAAACAAACAAACAAACACACAAACAAACAAAAAGCCCCACCAGUUCCAGUUUGUGUUGCCCAUGUACUCACUGGAGCAUGGUCAAAUUCUCUGUGGCCAGCCCUUGGCAUAACUGCAUCCUUCACCACACUGCCCGAAGCAGUGAAGACCUACAUAUACUUCAGCAACCCUGUCACAUUUGUAAGGGCCCUCUCUGCAAUGGCUU